rfam:Pleurotus ostreatus PC15 unplaced genomic scaffold scaffold_03, whole genome shotgun sequence.
GCCCGCCUAGCUCAAUCGGAUAGAGCGUCAGACUCUUAGGCGGGAUGAUCUGAAGGCUGCGAGUUCGACCCUCGCGGUGGGCU